rnacentral:rRNA from 1 species
UACAGAGGUCCCGAGCGUUGUUCGGAUUCAUUGGGCGUAAAGGGUGCGUAGGCGGCGCGGUAAGUCGGGUGUGAAAUCUCGGGGCUUAACUCCGAAACUGCAUUCGAUACUACCGUGCUUGAGGACUGGAGAGGAGACUGGAAUUUACGGUGUAGCGGUGAAAUGCGUAGAUAUCGUAAGGAAGACCAGUGGCGAAGGCGGGUCUCUGGACAGUUCCUGACGCUGAGGCACGAAGGCCAGGGGAGCAAACGGG